AUCGAACGCUGGCGGCAGGCCUAACACAUGCAAGUCGAGCGGAUGAAGGGAGCUUGCUCCUGGAUUCAGCGGCGGACGGGGGAGUAAAGCCUAGGAAUCUGCCUGGCAGGGGUGGAUAACGUCCUGAAACGGGCGCUAAUACCGCCUACUACCUGCGGGAGAUAGAGGGGGGGCUUCGGAACUCACGCUAUCUGAUGAGCCUAGGUUGGGUUAGCUAGUUGGUGGGGUAAAGGCCUACCAAGCCGAGGAUCCGUAACUGGUCUGGGAGGAGGAUAGGUCACAUUGGAACGUGAACACGGUCAAUGGUCCUACGGGAGGCAGCAGUGGGGAAUAUUGGACAGUGGGCGAAAGCCUGAUACAGCCAGGCCGCGUGUGAGAAGAAGGUCUUGGGAGUGGAAAGCACUUUAAGUUGUGAGGAAGCGCAGUAGGUUGAGACCUUGCUGUUGUGACGUUACCAACAGAAGAAGCACCGGCUAACUACGUG
rnacentral:rRNA from 1 species